UGCAUAUUUUAAGGCCUUCUUACCAAAUGCCUUUUUGAGUAAGUAAAUGAUCUCAUUAUCAUUCUUUUCAAACCUGCCCAGCUCAAUCACUAAGACAAAAGCGUGAGUAUUGAGUAAAUAUUGAGGUGAAUAUUGAGGUGAGUAUUGAGGUGAGUAUCUCCGAUUACAACUGCCCUGGUAGUCUAGUCCUGCAGCAAAAUUUGUACAAUUCUUAU